GAAGUAAAAGUCGUAACAAGGUUUCCGUAGGUGAACNUGCGGAAGGAUCAUUAUCGAAUCCGUUCAACCUUAUCACACCGUGCACUUGGUCGCGCACCGUGCGCAUGUCUCCUUUCGGGGUUGCUGCCUGGCAGCAUUAAGUCGUUCUCAGCCCUGUGUGUUGAGUUCGGGCCCCGUCUGGAGGCUGCGUGCGUGUGCGUGGUUUUCUCACCGCACACCUCGCGUGUGCACUCCGUUUAAUCUCUUAAACCAAGCAAAUUUGCAGACCGAACUGUUGGGCUUUCGGAUUCGAAAGCUGUUUUAUGAUCAAAUCAUGGACAACUUUCAACGGUGGAUCUCUUGGCUCGUGGAUCGAUGAAGAACGCAGCAAAACGCGAUAUGUAGUGUGAAUUGCAGAAUUCAGUGAAUCAUCGAAUCUUUGAACGCAAAUGGCGCUCCUGGGUAUUCCCAGGAGCAUGUCUGUCUCAGCGUCGUUUUCACCUCGAACGCGCUUCGGCGCGGUGGUCUUGAGGCGUCUGAGAGACUGGCCGUCGAUCAUUCGUGGUCGCCGGACCCGUUCCUCUCAGUCCCUUGAAAUGCAGUGGCCGAACGUUGUGCUGAAGCAUGGCCUUGGGCUGGUUCGCCCCGGAUCUGCUCGCACGGCUGAUCAGUCUUUUCUGUCGUCGUGUCGCAGCGGCCUGGGUGCACUUGCCAAUCGUGCUGGCGCAACCGUUCGAAUGAAGCCAACUCUGGAAAACGAACUCUGCUCUCUAUUGGGGGAGCAACACCUUCGACCUGAGAUCAGGCAAGACUACCCGCUGANUUUAAGCAUAUUAAUAAGCGGAGGAA
rnacentral:rRNA from 1 species